ensembl:lncRNA
AUGAUUAUAACUUUUUUAAAUACAUUUGUUUUGUUUUUUAGGGUGGCCAGCAUGAUACAGCAGUUUGUUGCUGGGAUGGAUGCAUUUGGACAGCUGUGGCAAACAGUACAGAGGAACUGUAUUAACUUUAUGCCAAUGUUCACAUACACACAUGAAAAACUCUCCCGAAGUGAUAUUCGGGACAUGUUCAACAUCAGAUGGAGUCCACAAGGCUGCAAUAAUAGAGAGAGGGAGGAGGACACCAUCUUUCUCUGGGAGUGUUGGCUGAUGUCUAUUGAAAAUAAAGAGCUAGACAUUACCUUUGAAGAAAUUCUGAUCUUCGCAACGGGAGCUGAUUCUGUACUCCCUCUCGGUUUUCCACGAGAGUGUGAGAUCCAGUUCUAUGAUCAAGAGCCAGGAAGCCAGCAGAUUCCUUACUCCUCAACCUGUGCCCUUGUUCUGUAUUUGCCCAGAGGAAAAUAUGUGAAGAAUGGGCUAUGUGAAGAAAUCGAGAACCUUUUAUUUCUACCAGCCAGUGAUGAUUCUGAAAGAACAUACCUGGAAUCUGUUGCUACAGUAACGAACGCAAAUUCAUGCUCAUGCGUGAUUUUAUUUCAGUGCAGUUGUUAAGAUUGUGGUUAUUUCAGCAAACAGUUUUACAUAUUUUAACAGUGUUAAGAUAAACUUUUCUAUAUCAUUCAAUGGUACUAUUUAGAGAUCAAUGAUACGCACACAUUUUAGACACUUAUUAGGCUAACUUGAUGGCUAACUUGAUAUGACAGGUUGGAAAAC